AACAAUCCUCAGAGCUGAUAUAGUAAACGGCCCAAACCAUGUUUUCGGCGAUCAUGCAAAUUGUAGACGGUAUUUCUGCCAGGGAGUAAAGGAAGGUGAAGAUAAUUUAGUUGGUGAACUAAAAAAAUUUGAAAUGUGGGAUGAUAUUGUAUAUGCCAGAAACUUACUUACAUAUCAUACAGAAAGUUUAAUGUACAAUUUCAAUAAUAAUAGAGCAGAACUUUAUAAUUCAAUCUUGGCAAAAUUUGUUGGAGGAAAGCGAAUUAAUUUUUCCCAAAAAGGUUCUUAUGAACUUCGAUGU